AUUGAACGCUGGCGGAAGGCCUAACACCUGCAAGUCGAGCGAGCGGCGGAAGGGGGAGGAAUGUCUGGGAAAAUGCCUGAUGUAGGGGGAUAACUAAUGGAAACGGUAGCUAAUACCGCCUACCAUCCGCUGUGCACAGAUGGGAUUAGCUAGUAGGUGGGGUAACGGCGCAACCAGGAGACGCGCCCUAGCGGGUUUGAGAGGGUGACCAGCCACACUGGAACGGAGAGAAGGUCCAGAAUCCUACGGGAGGCAGCAGUGGGGAAUAUUGCACAAUGGGCGCAAGCCGGAUGCAGCCAGGCCGCGUGUGUGAAGAAGGCCUUCGGGUUGUAAAGCACUUUCAGCGGGGAGGCGUUACCCGCAGAAGAAGCACCGGCUAACUCCGUGCCAGCAGCCGCGGUAAUAC
rnacentral:rRNA from 1 species